UGUGGAGCUAAAUUAUUUUCUCUAAGCAAAUGAAAGUGCCUCGAGAAGUGAACUAGCUGGGAGGGGGUGGGUGGGACUGGAAAUAGGCACAAGGUAACCAGUGUAAUUUCUGCUUUCUCUUUCACUGUCCAUGAAGACAAAGGGGUUGAUGACCCGGGAGAAGUGACCUGCUUUGCAGGUAGUAAUAAAGGCAGCAACUCUGAAGUUCAGUCCCUCAGCUCCUUCCAGUCAGAUUCUGGUGACGACAAUGCCUCCAUAGUGACUGUCAUUCAGCUUGUCAACAAUGUAGUUGACACUAUAGAGAAUGAAGUGUCUGUCAUGGACCAAGGACAGAACUACAACCGAGCCUAUCACUGGGACACCUCUGAUUGGAUGCCAGGGGCCCGCCUGUCGGACAUAGAGGAAGUGCCCAACUAUGAGAACCAGGAUGGAGGGUCUGCACACCAGGGGAGCACACGGGAGCUGGAGAGCGAUUACUACCU
rnacentral:sRNA from 1 species